rnacentral:RNase_P_RNA from 1 species
CCAGACGGUCGGAUGGCCGCGCGUGUUUACAUGCGAGGAAAGUCCGGGCAUCACGGAAACAAGGCGCCGGGUAAUACCCGGGGGGCGCGAGCCUAUGGAAAGUGCAACAGAGAGUAGACCGCCUUUUUUAAGGUAAGGGUGAAAGGGUGCGGUAAGAGCGCACCGCGUGACCAGUAAUGGAAACGGCAUGGUAAACCCCGCCUGAUGCAAGACCGAAUAGGACUGUCAUGAUAAUGUGUUUCCGCAUUGACGGUCGGGUUGGUCGCUAGAGGGCCUAUAGCAAUAUAGGCUCAAGAUGAAUGGUCAUCACUGCUCCUCGUGGGCAGUACAGAACCCGGCUUAUAGACCGUCUGGCUUU